UAUACUUCCUAGUUGGCUAAGGGGCUAGAAGUUAGCCAGAUCAUGGGGCCCAGAGAGGGUGACCUACUGAGGGCCCCUGGACUGCAAAGGCAGCCCCUGAGUCUCCCUUCCUGGCAGCACCACCACCCCCUAACAGGGUCACUGUCCCAGUACUGACCCCUGGGCCCCUUUUAUCCUUAAGUUCUCUGCAGCGGGAGGCUUUGGUUUGGGUUCAUACUCUGAAUGCCACUCUGUGGAUCUGGAGGCUUACAGAGAGAAACACCUGAUCUUUUUAAGAACCCUAAUUAAGGGGUUACAUAUACUAGGGGGAGGACCCUCUCUUGCAUUAGUCCGAACUGCUUUUACUGAGACGGGAAAGAUGAGACCAACACCAACAGCUACUAAAACAACAAAUUCCACACUAGCAGCUAUAGGGGGCUGGGGGAAGUCAAACCUCAUGGCAAUAACAAGGUCAGGCUCCAAAUAGAGCAAGGGCAGCAGGUGUGAGGUGAGACCAGAGCAGCGGG
rnacentral:lncRNA from 1 species